CCUUGAAAAUGUUUAUCAUGGAGUCUGGCCCGGCCUGUCGAUCCCCGUCCUCCAUUAUCCGGCUGACUCCUCUGCAGAGAUGGGUAACGUGUGAAAGGGCUUGUUUUGUCCGGUCACUUAAUACUCUUUCCGAGUGAAAAGUGGCAUCAUCUGUUGACCAAAAAAGAAACUGACACAUUGUCUUUCUGAACUGGCUUGGAUAUUAUAUUUAUAUGGAUAUAUUAUGGCUUGGAUACUACAAGUUUUAUAAAUCAGCUUUUUAAAAUAUAUAUUUAUUUAAUGAUUCAUAUAAUUUAAUUCAAAAAUAAAAGCGAGAAAUAUCAAAGUUUCCAAGAUUUUAAUAAAAAUUUUUUCUCGACAAUAUGGAUACUUGUUGGUUAACAAUCUGUUGCCCAGUCCUUUGUUGGCUCUCUUGCUGCUUGGUUCAGUUAAGUUUUUGUGCUCUUUGCUUUACUGCUACUUGUGAGUUUACCGUUUUACAGAGUUUUGCACUAAAGAGUUUUUCUUUUUUGCAGAGUUUACCAGCUGUUACAAGUUUGCUGUUUGCUUACUGCCGCUUUUUUUGCCAGUUAACAACUUUUCUUUGUUUGCAGCUACAUUUUUGAGAACGUUGAGCAACCAUGUGUUUGUUCCCGUGGUUGCGGAAGAGGAUGGCUGCCCGAGAGUCUCCAGAUCCAGCGACCCGAGAGUCUCCAGAUCCAGCGACCCGAGAGUCUCCAGAUCCA
rnacentral:lncRNA from 1 species